AGCCGCCAUAAUUAGUCACAAGUGUUGCACGCUUUUUGGCGUCCUGCCAAACAACACAUAGUUUCCCCGCUUUAGAGAAAUACUGGGGUGGAUUAUGUCGGUUCAUGGGGACCGUCUUAGGGUUUACACUGUCUGGAAUGCCUUGUAUGGUAUAGCGCACAGUUCCACGAGCUCAAAACCCUAGCUGGGACAACUUGUGUACAGGAGCGGUGGUAGUGUACCAAUUAUCCAUGAAAACAACAUGUCCCUUGUUUUCCAGUCCUUUGAGUAGGUCGACGACUCGGAUAACUUGGCCUGAUGCUGUAAGGUUGGGUGGAUACUGUAAUGGUUGGCUUCAGUGUACGCAACAGAGUGCGAGAUCAUUUGAAGGACAAAGCUUUUCAAAAGCAACUUAUAAAAUACUUGACCACAUUUGGAGGAAGGGACGUGGCAGAUGUCGUGCGACGGAUACUGAAGCACAUCCUGUCCCAUGAGGUGGCUCUUCUGUACAGCCUCAGCGGAAGAAAGGGAAAGCGACCAUUUGAUGCCCUUCAAAUUUAUGAUCUUACUUGCAAAGCAGUACGGUGUCACCCAAAAACAAAGAAUGCAACAAAUCGAGAAACCGAUGUCAUUGCUGGAAAGUAGCUUACUCAAGUGUGACAGGAAGGGGAGGUCGGAAACGACGGGAGGAGGAAAAGUGCCUUAGAAUAGCUGCUGGUAUUCCACAUGAAGUAUCCGAAUCCGACUGACUCACCAUUUUGGCAUAAAUUUUCUAACUAGCUGCAUGACUUAGUUACAAGCACCAGUUAUGAGAAGUCACUGGCAUGUGACAUCUCAGUGGGUCUCUGGUCGGUGCGCGCGUCGAUUUUCAAGGUGCGCACGACUUUUGACGCGUGCCUCAAACGUCGUGCUUAAAACAUUUCAACUUGCUUGUUGGAUUCGGCACGGCGUAAGCACGGACGUUUGAAACCAGUUUGGCUCGGCAAAUUAAUUUCUGUGGGGAAUAGGAUUUUGACUCGUACCCAAGCACCCACCCAACAGUCGCCCCGGUGUAUACCGCAUUCCAUGUGAAUGCAGCCAAGUAUACAUCAGACAAACUGGCGCGAACCUUCCUACCUGGCUCCAAGAGCACCGUACGCACGGCUGACAAGGACAAUACAAGUCGACCAUCGUAAAGUGUGCACACUCCUCGGACCACCACAUCAAAUGGGACAAUGCAGAACUCAUCGGCCCCAUCUAGGUCUGGCUUCCAAAAAUCCGCAGGGCCAACGAGAUUUUCCGGAACAACACCGACCAACAACAAUUUCAAGUUCAGCGACAUCUGGCGCCCACUACUAACACCCCAAGGCAACUCCCAACUCCGGGCAGUAGGGUCCCCCUAAACCGAAACCCAUACCACCCAUCCCAGGUGUUAGUGUCUUCUCUACCCGAAGCCACACCCCCGGCAUAAGGGUCCCCUAUACCCGAACCCAAGGUUUCCCGCCAAUUCCUACACCUCCAUGCUCCAGUACACGCGCAGCAAUGCAAGCUAUACAACCUACGUAUUCCGUUUUACCCUCCACCGCUUCCGGGUUACUUUUAUAACCGAGUUCUCUACUCGAGUCCGGCACACUCUCCUGAGGACGGCCAGAUCAUCCUGGCCGAAACGUCGAGUUAAUAUUCACCAGUUUUUCUAAGAGCCACACCUCUUCAAAAAGAGAGUGAUUCCAUGGUCACGUCAUUUGAGGUUUUGGGUUAUUGAAAUUACACAUUAUUCCCCAAUUUUUGGUGUGUUACAUUCAAGCUAUCAUAGACCCACACCCUGCAUAUUUGUCUAAAUCAUUUGUUGGACAUGAAAUGCAUGUUUUAGACCACGGACCAUUUAAAUGGUCCGUGGUUAGACGUCCUGCAUGCCUCAGACCAUGCCUACUGCGUGUCAGUGCCUACCCAAUUUUUACAGGAAACUGCAUCUAACCUUUCGUCCUGAUUUACAUUGCUUUACUACAGUGGCGUAAAUCUGUGUCGGAAAUGGGGGGAUUGGGAAAGG
rnacentral:lncRNA from 1 species